rnacentral:rRNA from 1 species
ACUGCUCAGUAACACGUGGAUAAUCUACCCUGUCGUGGGGGAUAACCUCUUGGGAAACUGAGGGUAAUACCCCAUAGGGAACGCGUUCUGGAACGCUGUGUUCCCCAAAGCCUUCGGGCGCGGCAGGAUGAGUCUGCGGUGGAUUAGGCUGUUGGUGGGGUAAUGGCUCACCAAACCAAUGAUCCAUACGGGCUGUGGGAGCAGUAGCCCGGAGAAGGGUACUGAGACAAGGACCCUAGCCCUACGGGGUGCAGCAGGGACGAAUCCUCUGCAAUGCGCGAAAGCGUGACAGGGGGACUCCAAGUGCCACCUUCUGGUGGGCUUUUCUUAACUGUAAAAAGGUUGGGGAAUAAGGGCUGGGUAAGACCCGUGCCAGCCGCCGCGGUAACACGGGCAGCUCUAGUGGUGUUCGCGUAUAUUGGGCCUAAAGCGUGCGUAGCCGGUCCUACAAGUCCUUGGUGAAAUCCUGCAGCUUAACUGUGGGAAUGGCCAGGGAGACUGUGGGACUUGAGGCCGGGAUGGGUCGGAGGUAUUCCUUGGGUAGGGGUGAAAUCCUGUGAUCCUUGGAAGACCAACGGUGGCGAAGGCGUCCGACUGGAACGGGCCUGACGGUGAGGCACGAAAGCUAGGGGAGCGACCCGGAUUAGAUACCCGGUUAGUCCUAGCCGUAAAUGAUGCAGGUUUGGUGUAACAACCCUUACGAGGGGUUGUUGUGCCGUAGGGAAGCCGUUAAACCUGCCGCCUGGGGAGUACGGCCGCAAG